UGGCAUUUUGGGCCGAAGCAACCGAACCAACCGUUUUUCGAACCGGCCCGAACCGAUUUGGGCCGAAAUCUCGGCCUACCGACUUUCGGCUCGGCUCAGCCGUACCGUAUGGCUCAUUCGGCUCGGCUACGGUAUGCCAUACACCAUACCGUCGGUAUACCGUACCGACCGAAUAUAGUGUAUACAUACCGAAAAAUUUGCAAAAUUGUGUAAGAGGCAGGGCUCGAACCCACAUCCUCUUCCACACAGACUCGGCUCCCAACCACUAGAGCACAAUCUACCUUCAUUAUAUUAUACUACAAAUUUUAUAUUUAUUUAUCACUUGGUUCUUAUUGUCAAAAAAAAAAACCCUAAUACCCUAUCACUUAACUUGACCCCAGCCUCAUUCCUUACUUCUUCGUUUCUUCGUUUUGCUCGACCUAAACCUGCCUCCCUCCCCAAAAUCACCGAUCCCAAAUUCUAGCCCCUAAAAUCAUCAAAACCAUGGACAAAUCUCUCUUCCAAUAGGUCAUAUCCCAAAUCCCCAUCCUUAGUUCUCCACAAUUUCGACAGAUUCACCUUUGUUGUUUGAAAAUCCCCAAACCAUCGAAACCCAAGAACUGGAAAAGUGUUGUUUCCUUCACCGAAAGGUAAUCUCUACCCCUAUUCUAUGUUGUUGUUCAAUUUUUAUUGUCGAUUACUCGAUUUUGAUCUUAAGAAACUCGAAGGUCAAGUGAAACCGUCCUCCAGUUCUGUGAUUUCGACGACUCCGGCAACCUGGCAAGGUGUUUUUGACUGAAAGAGAAGGCAGAAGGAGAGCGACUCCGGCAACUUUAGGUACGUUUGGAGCUAAAAACAACCAUUGCAGGUGAGAAUCACUUCUUCUCGUUCCACUGAGUUCAUAUUUAUUUUGUUUCUUGUUUAGCUAUAACUGGUAUAUGAUUUGUGGUGGUGUGUUGCUACUUUCUUUUCGAAAGUCAUUUAUUGAUUUUUGUAUACCUUCACUGACCAACUUUGUUUGCCUGCUUCCUAGUACAAAUAAAUCAAGGAGUCUAAGUGUGAUCAGUUGGACCAUACAUUUAGGAGCAUACGAUUGGGAGAAACCGCUGGACUUAGAUUGGGUGAACCAAGCUCUUCUACAACCACUGCUGCAACAUAAAGAAGGUGUCAAGGUGAUAAGUUCCAUGAGUUCUGGGCUGCUGCAUUCAUUUUGGUCUGAUAUCUAUUUAUUUCCAUAGAUGAUUCUUUUAAGUUCAUGAAUUCUGGGCUGCUGACUUGUGAAUUUGGUUUGGGCUGCUGCAUCAAGUUGCUGCAAUCAUUUUAGUCCAAUAUUAAUUAACUUAAACUGUGCAGCUGCAGCAACAUAAUGGAGCAAGAAGAUGAGGUCAUGCUGAUCGGAAGAUUAAAACACCUCAUUGUGCUUAACUGCUGCUUUGGAUUUUCACUUGUUAUGGGAACUAGUCUAUUUUGCUCUUCUAAAUGCUUUGGUACAAUUUACAUUAUGAUUUAUGCUGGUAAUGUAAUAUUCUUUUCAAUUAUUGUAAUAUUUAAGUUAUAUGUAAAUUAGUAGUAGUUGAAUCCCUUCAAUGUUUUAUUGUGCUUCAAUGUUUUUUGUGUUAACAGUUUCCAGAUGAAGAGUUAGAAUC